UUUGGUUCUCGGCCUUUUGGCUAAGAUCAAGUGUAGUAUCUGUUCUUAUCAGUUUAAUAUUUGAUACGUCCUCUAUUUGAGGACUAUAUAUUAAAUGGAUUUUGGUUGAGUCUUUCAGUAACAAUUCAACAAGUGGCAGUUCUGAAACCACAAUAUCCACUAUGAAAGGUGAUUUUUA
ensembl:snRNA U2 U2 spliceosomal RNA